CCACAGUUCAGUGCCUCCUCACCCUGCCCCCCAGUGGAGGCCAGGGAGCAGGGGCACCUGCUUCUCCGCCAGUCCUGGGUGAGGAAACCCCGGGGGCCUCCUCUGACCUUGCGCUUCGCUCCUAAAGGUCACUGCACGGUGCUCUAGGGGGUCAGGUUCCUGCAGUUGGGGACCGGGGGAAGGCAGUAAUCAAUCUGGGCCCCGCCAGGCCAGGGGCGCCGAUCCAGAGCAGCCCUCCUGUGCCCGCUGCCCGGCAGGGUUAUUUAUAACCGCGGGUCGCCUUACCUCCUGACCUUUAGCAUCUCCUCGCCGCCCACUGCGAACAAACAGUCCUCUGUGUGCACCCUGGGCAGGCCUCACUGCAGCCCUGCAGGAAGCAGGAUGCUGACCCGGAGUCGGCGCCCCCUCGCUCCCUAGGGUGGACCCAGCCACGUAUGAGGAAACCGAGGCGCAGAGAGGCAAAGGGAUGUGUCGAAAGCCACACAGCUGGAGCAAGUGGUGGAACUGGCCUGGGAACAUGGGUUGGUGUGUUUUCCCUCCACCCCACAGCGACAUGGUGGGGGUGGGGGUGGGGGUGGGGAGUUGGCAGAGGCAGCCCUUUAAAAACUGCAGUAGGGCCACCACAAGUAAACAGAAGCCUUGACAGCUGUCGGGCCCUCUCUCCAAGCACAAGGCGGAGGCUGGCCCUGUUUCCAGCAGAAGGCCUUGGUCCGGCCGGCUGCCUUGACUCAGAGGACUCAGGCUCGCGUUGCUCCUUUGUGGGCUGGAGGGGCCCCGAGAUCACAGACCCCGGAGUGGGUGUGAGCACCGUCUCUGCACCCAGAAGCUGAGAUCAGCUUUUGGGCUGCUCUUUCUUCAGUCAUUUACUGGUUUCCCAUGAUUAUAAUAACUACCCCUGCUGAGCUUUAUAGUUCACAAAGUACUUUCACAAACACUCUUUCAUUUACUCCUCACAUCAGCCCUGUGAUGAGGAGUUAAUAUGACCAUUUUAUGGAAACAGAAACUGGAGUUCAGGGAGGGAGGUUCCGGGAAUGGCCUCAGAUCAGAAGGCCAGCAGUGGCCCUCACGCCAGCAUUCCCGAGCCCCGGGCCAGACCCGGCUCCUUCCUUCCACGGGGCAGCCUUCUCAGAGGAGUGCGGUGGCUUCUGGAGGGGCCGGCCUAUCUCAGUCUGCCAGCAGUGACCAGACAAUCUGCUCUCAUCAUCUGGGAGCUGGGUGAAGACCCCUCCCCACCCUCACCUCCUGCAAAUAUUGUGUGUUGGGGGUGGGGGGGACACAAAGAAGUAGAAGUGACUGCUGAGUGAGGGAGCUGGAGAGAGUACUGGGGAGGGGUCCCCCGCUGCCUUGGCCUUGGGCCCCGCAGAUGCAUGGAAGGGACCAGCAGUUCCUGGAACACGAGCCCAUCGCCGGGGUGCCCAGUGCCAGCUGUUGCCAUCUGCUUGUGGCAAAACGAGAAAAAUAGGACAAUACAGUGAAGUUUUCCUAAAGCUAGACCUACUCGAUCUGAAGUACGGCCCUUUCCCUGGAGCUGUGUAUUUUCAGGGUCUGUGCAUGUGUGUGUUUAAAAAGGACCUUUUCUUUGACAUUUUCUUUAAUGUCCUUAACCGAGCAAAAUAAAAGACUAGUGACCAUGUCAGAUCCUAAAUCGGCUUUUUGGAAAUGUUAGUGACUAAGGAAUCCGAAUGCCUGGGAAUCACGGAGCUGGCCCUGAUUCGGUGAGCCCUGGCACGGAGGACUUGUUUUUGAAUUCAGGGAUGAUCUCUGAACAGCUGGAAAAACCCCGGGGGAGGAGAGGUUGGGGUUCCUGCCUGGACUCAGCCCCUCAGCCCUGGAUCCCCAGGAAACCUGAGCAGAGGGAACAUUAGAGUCACUGCACAGGGAAUUCUGAGAAAGGCCUCGGGCUGAUUCUCCGUGCUGCACCCCCUCAGCCUCUUCUCUGACCCCCAGCCAGAGGGAAUGUACCCUCCAACCUCAGCCCUGCCUCCCCCAGCCCCCCAAGGCUGGAUCCAAAAUAGCCCAGGCCCCGGAGGAGACGUCAUGGGUCAGACUGGCUGCCUGCCCUCAGAGAGGGCAUGUCGGUAAUGCCCAAGGCCAAAUAUAGAGGGACACCAGACACCGCUGGGCCACCCAGGGCCUGGGGAGCCCGGCUGGCAUCUCAGGGCCUCCCCCACCCUCAUCCCUUCCCAGCCCUGCACCCCCAACCCGGGCUCCGGAGGCCAGCGCCUCCUGGCCAGGCCCACCCAGCCAGGACAUGUCCCAGCAAGCCCAGAGCCGAGCUGGAGGCUGGCCCGACGGGGUGCUGGGCCUGGGCUGGGCCUGGGCGUGGGGACACCCCUCCAUCUGGGGGUCUCAAAGCACUUUUAUAAGCGUCACUUCCCACAGGCUGCUGCCGAGAUCAGGAGGCCAAGAGGACCUGGUGUCUCCGGGGGGCCGGCUCCUGCCUCUGUUCCUCCCAGCUCGGGAAGGAGACCAGGCCGUAAACCUGCGGCGUGGGAGGCUUGGGAGGCGGGGGGCGGGCAGGCGGCCAGGUCUAACCCGAGUGAACUCCCGGUGGAAUCGAACUGCAAAUAAUGAGUCCUGAUUGCCGAGGUGGCCUCCACCCGCCACUCCCGGGAAUUAAAAGUCAAAGGGCAGAGCUGCUGACGCAAAUGUCAAGGGAGACACGCGGUGUGGAACAGCUGGGAUCCUGCUCCCCGGCCUGCCGCCCAAGGUCGCCGCCCCCAGCGCCCUGGAUCCGGCGUCCCCCAGGCUGGGCCCCGAGAGGCCCCAGUUCCCCAGGCGCAGCAGGGAAGGGGGCUCGGCUUCCUCUCCCUCCUCCUGGUUCUAAGGUCAACAGAACUCGAUUGGAGGAGGUUCAUCAGAAAUCCCCGUGCAACGGCGUUGCCGGACGCCUGCGGACGCGGAGAGGCAGCAGCUCGAGUCCUCUGGGCCUUCCCCGCCUCCCCCGCCAACAAGGGGGAGGAAACUUCUGCCGACGGGGGCGCGUGGCUCGCUAACACCUGCUGUGUCCCCUAGGUCGUCCCAGGGCCGGCACACCGUGGGCAGCUGCACCGUGGUCUGUGCACCAGUGGUGACCCCCAGCGGUCAGUGUGGGACUUGACCUUGGACCCAGCACUGAAGCCUCCGCCAGGCCAGGGGCUGGGAAACCCCGGGGGCGCCAGGUUUGGAGAUUUGAUCUUGGAAGGGAGGUGUUGGCGUUCGGAGGUGUUGGCGUUCGGAGGUGUUUUUCUCUGUGCUGAAUUUUCCUAAUCGCCCUGUGGCUGGAUCUCAGCCUGUGUCCCACUGUGAGCCAGUCAGCCUCAACAUGUCUAAGAGGCGCAUCAUCACUGAGCCCCUACCGGCUCUUACUCCUGACUUCCCUAUUUCUAUUAAUAGCACCACUACCCUCCCAGUCCCUCAGGCUCCAAACCUCCGUGUCAUUGUCCACAUCUCCCCACACUGGGCUGGCUGACCGGUCCUGCCCCUCCUCACCGUGCAGGUCAUUCUUCCACCCCUCCCGCGAUACUCAUGGCCACUGCCCCAGUCAAUGGACCUCUCUCUCACCUGAGCUACUGUCAUCCUCGACAAUGCCACUGGGUCAGACCUGGCUAUGUGACCGGUCCCUUCCACUUACUGGCUGUGUGACCUUGGGCAAGCUACUUAACUUCUCUGAGCUCAACUUCCUCAGCUGUAAAAUGAGGAUAAUAAUUACAGUCCCUACCUCAUAGAGCACUGCAUGAAUUGUGACGUAUGUGAAGACCCUGACACAUAGGAAAUGCUCAGUGACUGUGAAUUAUUAGAGAUCAUCCAUCCAAUCCAACUCUUCCAUUUUACAAACAAGGAAACUGAGGCUCAGAGAGCUGGAAGGAGAGCUAACGUCUGGCAUGGUGUCUUUACAACUUGCUACAGGGGUCCAGCCGGGUGGCACAGUGGUUAAGUUCACACGUUCUGCUUCGGUGGCCUGGGGUUUGCCGGUUCGGAUCCUGGGUGUGGGCCUACACACCAUACUGUGGUAGGCAUCCCACAUAUAAAGUAGAGGAAGAUGGGCAUGGAUGUUAGCUCAGGGCCAGUCUUCCUCAGCAAAAUGAGGCGGAUUGGUGGCAGAUGUUAGCCAGGGCUAAUCUUCCUCAAAAAUAGAAUAAAAUAAAAAUAAAACUUGCUACAGAGCAGGGGGAGUGGAAGUUCCCGGAGUCUUGAAGCUCCUCCACCACUGCCCACAUCAUCGCGAUCUGGAACCCAGAUCCAAAGGCCCCCUGCUGAGUUCACGGGGCACACCCUCCUGCCUUCAGGGGCAGGCAUGCUUGGGUGAGUGCUGAGGUCGCAAAUACCUUCUGGGAUGAGACAACUACAGGUGACGUCCAGCGGCUGUGAGUCAGGGAGACCCAUCUGCAAGGUGACGAGUGAGGCUGGGCACUCGGGCCGCAGGGGUGCUGGGCAUGCAGGGGUCGUGCCAGACGUCAGACAUCCAAAUAGGGUGGGCACCUCCUCCCGCAACAACCCCGCCCUCACACUCCUCCCCCAGCUCCCACUCACCCCCUCCAGUGCCCAGGCCUUCGCGUGGGGGUCCGUGGGGGCAGGGCAGGCUGCCUCCCGUCCAGAUAGUCCAGGCGGACGUUCUGAACAGUCCCUCGUGAAUGAGCACCUGGGGGCCAUACGCUCUUUGAAACUGAAGGUGGGAGCCCUGUUCUGGGGACAGGUUCUCAAAGCGGACUUCUCUCCACAAAGAGAAGAUGAUCAAGAGCAGCAAGAGCAGAUGAUCCAGGUUCAAACGUGGGCCUGUCCUAGAGUCCUAGGACACCUCCUGUCUAAGCCAGAGGUUCUCAAACAGGUUUUGCUCCUGGGGACACCUGGCAAUGCCUGGAGACAUGUUUGGUUGUUAUACUGGGAGGGAGGGUGUGCAUGACCUACUGGCAUCUAGUGGGGAGAGGCCAAGGGUGUUGCUAAAUAUCCUACAAUGCACACAGCACAGACACACAACGAAGAACAUUCCAGCCCCCGUGUCAGUAGUACAGCGGCCUCGAGGAGGAAGGGAGGCCGUGCCUGUGAAGAACCCGGGACUGGGCCUGGCUCAUGCUCCGUGUUGGCAAGGGACCUUUCUUUUCUAAGGCCUUCUCUCAGCCUGGACACCCAAGCCGGUGGGCAGAGGUGGAGUGGGCAUAUACUCACAUGAGAAUUCUGAGAAAUGAUCUUGGUGUUUCUGCCACACCCAGCCUGGGGCAGAGUUUCUAGAAGAGUCUGGUGCUCACUCAUGAACCCUUUCAACAAGGACAAAGCAGGCCCUGGAAGGAGCGGCCCGCCCUCGGGCUGCUCACCCUGCCACCUCCAGCAGGCCUCCCCGUGACCCAUCCCCCACCCCUCUCACUUGCAUUUGUGAGGGAGAGAGGGGAGAGGAUGGGGCAGAAGCCCUCCUCUGAGCUCUCCUCAGACCCGCCGAGGCCGGGCAGGCAGGAGGACGUGCUAGCGGCAGCCCUGCACAGAGGCAGGGGACGGCUCCAGGGCACCUUCGAAGGUGUGUGAAGCUGAGUCAAGGAGCUGGCAAGCCCUCCUGCCACUCACCUCAGCGGGCAGCUGGUUCUCCUUCAGCCUCAGCAGCCGUGGGGUCAAGUGUCUGCUCUACAGAAGCUGGUCCCAGAUAAGCCACCGCCUUCUUCCCUGGGAUGGGGUGGUGUAGCCCCAUCAGAACCCCCACACCCUGGCCCCUGAGCUCCGCUUUGCUGGUUUACCCAACUCAAGUAAAAUGGAUUAUCGGAUUACGGUCGGAGUGGGUGGAAGGGUCAGGUCGAUCAACAGAGAUGGGACUCUUAGACCCCUUUCUGACACUGCUCAUUUGUGGGGUCUGGGGGAUUGGGGCAUUGCAAUCACACCCUCUCCCCUCGGGUCUCAAUUUCAGGCACGUGUUUAAUGGGGCACACCACCUUCCAAACCUUCGGUGUGAGGCUGUGUGGGGGUGGGGCUUCUGUCUGCGUCUGGAAGCCCAGCUGACUUCACGACAAGCCCAGACACGCAGCUGUUUCUGAAACAGAAGCCGCAGCGGUGGGGGAAGCGCCAAGCGCCGAGGCUGGGGGCAGAGAGGAGACCCCCGGACACCAGACUGAUGUGUACAGUUAACAGGGCCUAACCAAAGGGUCUGCACUGCGUCUCCAGUGAUGCCAAAGGGGGCCUAGGGAGAAGCUCUCUGAAGGCUCAGCUGCCGUCCUAAAGUAGACUUUUGGAGACCUCUUCCCAGGUUUGAGAAGGAAAAGAUGGAUACCUGUCCAAGGGAGUGGAAGACCCAGAGAACUUAACAGUGUCUCUCUUCCUAAUUAAGACAUAUUCCUCCCAUUCAUGGAAGUGAUGCCUUGAUGCCUCAGGGACAAACUGGUGCAUCAAACAAAGUAGCUGGUUUGUACCAAGUGGUACAGGCUGCGUGAAUUCCCUCCAUAAGGAUCUGGCUGGGCAUGAAGGCUGUUAGUCCAUACAACCCAAACUGUACACGGCACCGAUGAUCCCCCCCUCAAAGAAUGUCACCUUAGAAGUAGCCUUCGAGCUCAUCUGAGCCAAGCCCUGGCUUUUACUGAUAAGGAAACUGAGUCCAGAGAGAGAUGACGACUUUGGAUAAAUCAGCGGCAGGGAGGGGCUACACCUAUGAUUCCUUAUCGUGACUUGGUUUUUGAGAUGCUGAUAUCUGGUUCACAUCAUAUCACACCAGAGGAGUCUUUGGAAGAAAGGGCUGUCAUCUUGGGGCCCCAGAAACAUGGCCUUAACACGGGGGAGGAUGGUCUGAUAAACCCGCAGUUGGGCAAAGCCCAGGACUGGGUCUCUAAAUCAGCCAAGGCUGCCGAGAGACAUCUGCCCACAGGCAUCUGCCCACUGUCGGCUCCUCUCCACCCAGGCUCCUCCAGGAAGGACAAAUGCUUGAGAUGCCUCUAAGAAUCAGUACUGGAGUCUUUUUUGGUGAAGAACAUGCUAAACUUUUGCUCCUAGUUCCUUCCUUACAGCCCCAGGUAAAUUCUCCAAGAUAGAAAUGUAGACUGGCUACAAAAUAAAAGCCCGUUUCCACAGAAGCCUAACAGGCUGAAAUGCAGCAAAAGGUGAGCCGCUGAAAAUUCACCCCAGGACUUGUCACUUGUCUGGGCUAGCCAAAGGUCAGGCAAAGUCAGCUGGACGAGAAAAGACAACAGGAAAAGACAUCGAGGCCUCCGAGGGGGGAGGAUACAAAUAUUUGUUUACUGGUGAGUAGCACUGUACAUGAUCUCAUUUAAUCUUCCCAACAAUCCUGUGCGGAAGAUAGCAUUCUACAAUACUCCUGAUGAAGAAAUUCAUUUUUGAAAGACCGCUCCACUCUCUUUGGGCGUGAGAUGUCCUCAAAAAUCUUAACAGAUGGAGGUUUGCUUUCUCGCUCGGGCAGAGCAAUGCUAAGCUUUUUAAUCAUGCAGAAAGCAUAUGACCCUCCCUGCCACCAUUCUACACUCUGCCGUGCAUCUCAUGUUAAUAUUUGAUUUAGUUCUGUACGUCUGCUCUCUACCCGCUUAUAUGCAGUGACUGGAAGUUUAAUUCUUGUCAUAAAGCAUUAUGAGCAACAGAUACUGAAUAAAUAUGUUUUGAUGGCAUCUAAAAU
ensembl:lncRNA